GGAAGUAAAAGUCGUAACAAGGUCUCCGUUGGUGAACCAGCGGAGGGAUCAUUACCGAGUUUACAACUCCCAAACCCCUGUGAACAUACCAUAUUGUUGCCUCGGCGGUGUCUGUUUCGGCAGCCCGCCAGAGGACCCAACCCUAGAUUACAUUAAAGCAUUUUCUGAGUCAAUGAUUAAAUCAAUCAAAACUUUCAACAACGGAUCUCUUGGUUCUGGCAUCGAUGAAGAACGCAGCGAAAUGCGAUAAGUAAUGUGAAUUGCAGAAUUCAGUGAAUCAUCGAAUCUUUGAACGCACAUUGCGCCCGCCAGUAUUCUGGCGGGCAUGCCUGUCCGAGCGUCAUUUCAACCCUCAAGCCCCCGGGCUUGGUGUUGGAGAUCGGCGAGCCCCCCGGGGCGCGCCGUCUCCCAAAUAUAGUGGCGGUCCCGCUGUAGCUUCCUCUGCGUAGUAGCACACCUCGCACUGGGAAACAGCGUGGCCACGCCGUAAAACCCCCCACUUCUGAAAGGUUGACCUCGGAUCAGGUAGGAAUACCCGCUGAACUUAAGCAUAUCAAUAAGCGGAGGA
rnacentral:rRNA from 1 species